UGAAAUGAUGUUUUGCUUUGAAUUCUCAUUGAAUCAGGAAAAUAACGGUAAAUUAACUGUCAAAGUAUCAACAAUCAUGGCUUGUGCAUAUAGCAUACUGGAUAUUAAAAAUGCAUAUAGCAUAUCAAAUAUUUUAAAAUUGUCAGAUAGAUGUAGGGGCGUGGCUAGAUUUUUUAAAAAUCCAAUAGUCCAAUAGUGUUUUUUUUUUAAAA
rnacentral:lncRNA from 1 species